rnacentral:rRNA from 1 species
UACGUAGGGCGCAAGCGUUGUCCGGAAUUAUUGGGCGUAAAGAGCUCGUAGGCGGUUUGUCGCGUCUGUCGUGAAAGCUUGGGGCUUAACCCCAAGUCUGCGGUGGAUACGGGCAGACUAGAGGCAGGUAGGGGAGAUCGGAAUUCCUGGUGUAGCGGUGAAAUGCGUAGAUAUCUGGAGGAACACCGGUGGCGAAGGCGGCAUCCUGGACCGACACUGACGCUGAUGCACGAAAGCUAGGGGAGCAAACGGG